GCUUUUGGUGGCUGUGGAUUUCUGCACAGAAGCGGUCCUUGAAGCAUCCCUUGGACAGGACUGCAAAAGGUGACUAAACAGUUUAGUGCUGUGCUGGCUAUGCUGCUUCUGCAGAUGUUGGAGAGAAAUCCUUGGCUACGGAGAAGUGGAGAGCUUGCAAUGCACUGAGAAGAUCUUGUCUGAGCACUUGGAUACCCUUGGUCUGGAAGAAUGCAAAAUAUCUUUGUCCUUCAAUAAUGCAUUUUUGAGGCGGGAAGUAGGAUGAGCUUUUGUUCAUCUUGCUGCCAGGUGAUGAGCUUUGCACACCAGACAGACUUGGUGCCAUCACUCCUACAGCUUCCAGUUAUGAGUGCUUUCUGAGCCCUGUGUGAAUUCCAGCAGGAUGCAGGCUCAAAUUUUGCAUCUCAGCAACCAAGAUGUAUGGCUAAUAAAUCCUGAUUGCAGACGAAGAGUGCUUAAGAUCAGGAAUCUCAGCCCACAGGAUGAACUGAGAAGUGGAAGACAGAGAUGGUGGCUGAAGUCUGCCAAGAUUCAGAGGAGUGCAGCAGCGUGCCAGAUCCUCGCUGGAUUUGAGCAUAUCAGCCUGCUCUGGUGGCUAGCUUAUUUGGAUGGCACAGUGAACUGCCUGGAUCUCUUACAUUUAUGUGAAGAUCAUUUCCCUGGACUUCAAUGUGAGCCCAAUUCUUUGUCUCUGCUGGAAGCCAUCCUAAGAGAUGAUGGAGGAAUGCUGUGUGAGCCAGCCAGCCUGCAGGAUGAGUCACCCUGGGAAGAUCACUCUUGUACCAAAGGAGAAGUCAAAUGUAGUGGAAUGCUGUGCAAGACAACAGAUAAUGGAUGGACAAUUGGAGGACAACAAUCCCUGGGCUCAUGCCCAGAAAACUGGAUAUUCACACAAAAGAGCACCCUGAAAGAACACCUGCGAUUGAGAGGCUUUGCUCAUCACUAG
rnacentral:lncRNA from 1 species